AGGCCUUUUGGUUGUAAAGCACUUUAAGCAGUGAAGAAGACUCUUCGGUUAAUACCCGGGGACGAUGACAUUAGCUGCAGAAUAAGCACCGGCUAACUCUGUGCCAGCAGCCGCGGUAAUACAGAGGGUGCAAGCGUUAAUCGGAAUUACUGGGCGUAAAGCGAGCGUAGGUGGCUUGAUAAGUCAGAUGUGAAAUCCCCGGGCUUAACCUGGGAACUGCAUCUGAAACUGUUAGGCUAGAGUAGGUGAGAGGGAAGUAGAAUUUCAGGUGUAGCGGUGAAAUGCGUAGAGAUCUGAAGGAAUACCGAUGGCGAAGGCAGCUUCCUGGCAUCAUACUGACACUGAGGCUCGAAAGCGUGGGUAGCAAACAGGAUUAGAUACCCUGGUAGUCCACGCCGUAAACGAUGUCUACUAGUCGUUGGGUCCCUUGAGGACUUAGUGACGCAGCUAACGCAAUAAGUAGACCGCCUGGGGAGUACGGCCGCAAGGUUAAAACUCAAAUGAAUUGACGGGGGCCCGCACAAGCGGUGGAGCAUGUGGUCUAAUUCGAUGCAACGCGAAGAACCUUACCUGGUCUUGACAUACACAGAAUCUUGUAGAGAUACGAGAGUGCCUUCGGGAAUUGUGAUACAGGUGCUGCAUGGCUGUCGUCAGCUCGUGUCGUGAGAUGUUGGGUUAAGUCCCGCAACGAGCGCAACCCUUGUCCUUAGUUACCAGCAC
rnacentral:rRNA from 1 species